CGUCAGGCGCCCUGGAGGUAUCGGAAGUGCGAAUGCUGACAUGAGUAACGAUAAAGGGUGUGAGAGACACCCUCGCCGAAAGUCCAAGGGUUCCUGCGUAAAGUUAAUCUGCGCAGGGUUAGCCGGCCCCUAAGGCGAGGCCGAAAGGCGUAGUCGAUGGGAAUGGGGUUAAUAGUCCCCAGCCAGCGGAUGGUGACGGAUCGGGUAAAUUGUGCAUCCUUAUCGGAUUGGGUGUGCAGUGAACCGGUUCCAGGAAAUAGCCUCCGCAUGAGACCGUACCCGAAACCGACACAGGUGGACAGGUAGAGUAUACCAAGGCGCUUGAGAGAACUCUGCUGAAGGAACUCGGCAAAUUGCCUCCGUAACUUCGGGAUAUGAGGCCCCGGUUGUGGGCAACCAUGAUCGGGGGGCACAAGCCAGGGGGUGGCGACUGUUUAACAAAAACACAGGGCUCUGCGAAGCCGCAAGGCGACGUAUAGGGUCUGACGCCUGCCCGGUGCAGGAAGGUUAAGAGGAGAGGUGCAAGCUUUGAAUCGAAGCCCCGGUAAACGGCGGCCGUAACAAUAACGGUCCUAAGGUAGCGAAAUUCCUUGUCGGGUAAGUUCCGACCCGCACAAGGGCGUAACGACUUCCCCGCUGUCUCCAGCAGAGACUCAGUGAAAUUGAAUUCCCCGUGAAGAUGCGGGGUUCCUGCGGUUAGACGGAAAGACCCCAUGCACCUUUACUGCAACUUUGCGCUGGCAUUCGUGUCGGCAUGUGUAGGAUAGGUGGUAGGCUUUGAAGCGCGGGCGCCAGCUCGUGUGGAGCCAACCUUGAAAUACCACCCUUAUCGUCAUGGAUGUCUAACUGCGGUUCGACAGGAUCCAGGACAGCGCAUGGUGGGCAGUUUGACUGGGGCGGUCGCCUCCCAAAGAGUAACGGAGUCGCGCGAUGGUGGGCUCAGACCGGUCGGAAAUCGGUCGUCGAGUGCAAUGGCAUAAGCCUGCCUGACUGCGGGACUGACACGUUGAGCAGAGACGAAAGUCGGCCAUAGUGAUCCGGUGGUCCCGCGUGGAAGGGCCAUCGCUCAACAGAUAAAAGGUACGCCGGGGAUAACAGGCUGAUCUUCCCCAAGAGUCCAUAUCGACGGGAAGGUUUGGCACCUCGAUGUCGACUCAUCACAUCCUGGGGCUGGAGCAGGUCCCAAGGGUUCGGCUGUUCGCCGAUUAAAGUGGUACGUGAGUUGGGUUCAGAACGUCGUGAGACAGUUCGGUCCCUAUCUGCCGUGGGUGUUCGAGACCUGAGACGAUCUGUCCUUAGUACGAGAGGGCCGGGAUGGACGCACCACUGGUGGACCUGUUGUCCUGCCAAGGGCGGUGCAGGGUAGCUAUGUGCGGACGGGAUAACCGCUGAAGGCAUCUAAGCGGGAAACCC
rnacentral:rRNA from 1 species